AGGCUGACUGGCACUUGGAGAGUGGCAAGUCUUCCAGUAUGGGGAGCAAAACAGCUAUGGGUCAAGUCCGAUAUCUUUAGGAGAAGUCUUAUUGUGAGGGCGAGUUAUAUAACACCAUAGGACUGGCCGUCCCAUAUGAAAAGAUUAUAUUAGAAUUGAAUGAAGCUUUGUUUAUAUAUUGAUAAUGACAGUAUAUAUAUCGUGUCUUGACUAAUUGCGUGCCAGCAGUCGCGGUAAUACGUAAGAGACUAGUGUUAUUCAUCUUAAUUAGGUUUAAAGGGUACCCAGACGGUCAAUAUAGCUUAUAAAAUGUUAGUACUUGACUAGAGUUUUAUGUAAGAGGGCAGUACUUGAGGAGGAGAGAUGAAAUUUCGUGAUACCAAAGGGACUCUGUAAAGGCGAAGGCAGCCCUCUAUGUAAAAACUGACGUUGAAGGACGAAGGCACAGAGAACAAACAGGAUUAGAUACCCAAGUAGUCUUUGCAGUAAAUGAUGAAUGCCAUAGGUUAGAUUGAUCAAUUAUAGUCUAGGGUUAGUCUAGCAAACUAAUGCCCUAUGAUAUAAUUCAAAAUAUCUGGUCUAUAAAUGAAAGUGUAAGCAUUUCACCUCAAGAGUAAUGUGGCAACGCAGGAACUGAAAUCACUAGACCGUUUCUGACACCAGUAGUGAAGUAUGUUAUUUAACCAAAAACCCCCAAAAAA
rnacentral:rRNA from 1 species